AGUCACAAAGUUCCUGGGUCGACCGGGUCGAGGAACGGGGUCGAGGGUCGAGAGUCAUCACUUUAUAAAAUUGUGGUACGAAUGGGGUAUACCUCUGUGGAAUGAUAAAUUAUUAUGUGGAACGUGACCCUGAUUCAUCCGGGUCGAUAUUUUCGGGUCGAUGCGUCUUUAAAAAGACAAAAACUAUAUAUGUGCUACUAAUGAAGAAACUAAUCUGCACAAGCAUAUAAGAAAUGUAUAAAAAGAGUACAUUUAUACCAUAGUACACGUACUCGGCUCAUUAUCUAACAAAAACCACACCCUUAACCUUCUUAUCCCAAUUAAAUCUGCUAGUAAUGAGGCUGCGACCCCUCUCAAACCGGGACGCGAUCCAAUCUUGAAUGGGACACUGACCCUCUUUGACCCCGACCCUCGAAUCGGAACGGCGUUCCCGGGUCGUGGGACGAGGCAUCGACCCCGAAUCCUGUGACUAUGGUUUAGGUCCACCU